GAACCUGUCUCAACAUCUGUCUAUAAGGAACAGAAUUAUGGGCUCUCACACCUAUCUUCUCAAGAAGAAAUGUCAGGCCUGUCAUUCCAGAUUGCUUCAAUGGAUGAAAACGGGACUCUCAAUCUGUGGGUAGCAGUUGAAUUACAAAAAGUGGAUUUGGCUGGUUCACAAAGUGAUUUAGGUUUAAUUCCUGGAGGGAAAGUAAAGUUAGUACAUAGCUCUACUGUUCAGUUGAAUAGCAGCCUUUUCCCAAAAGAUAUCCUAUGCCUGAGGAAGCCUCAGACACUGAAUAUUAAGUUUCUGCCUUCUAAUCCUAAUCAUUUCAUUGUUGGAACAGACAUUGGUGUGGUAAGUCAUGGUGCAAGACAUGAUUUAAGAGUACCUCCAAAGCUGUUCAAACCCCAGCAGGGUGGACCAAGAUCAAUAAGAGCUAAUGCAGUUGAUUUCUCCCCUUUUGGAAAGCCAAUAUUUUUGGUUGGCUGUUCAGAUGGAAGUAUUAGAUUGCACCAAAUGACUUCAGAGCAUCCCCUCAUACAGUGGAAUGACAGCACAAAUGGCCAGCCAGUUAUUGCCCUCCAGUGGGCUCUCACAAGACCUGCUGUGUUUUUCGCCCUGGAUGCAUCAUCUACUGUUUACAUUUGGGAUCUACUGGAAAACGACUUGUGUCCUGUAGCCAAACAAAUUAUCCAAUCAGAUAAGGUUAUGACUAUGGUUGUAUUGGGUGAACCGGAAAAAACAAAUGGUCUGUUGGGGAUCGCAUUGGCCAAACAAUCUGGAAUAAUAGACAUUCAGUAUGUAAAGAAGAGGUGGGCAUUACCUCAGUCAGAAGAGUCAGAAAAACUACAGUUGCUCUUGGAACAAUCCUUAUAAAGCAGAGAAAUUGUCUUUUUCUGCAUGUACAAAUACGGCUGGCUAUAUUUAGAAUUUUUCAUUUGAUUACUAUAAUAAAAAGAUUUAUAAUUUAAGAGCUUUUGCCUUU
rnacentral:lncRNA from 1 species